rnacentral:rRNA from 1 species
GACGAGCCACCCGAACGUUAUUCGGAAUUACUGGGCUUAAAGGGUGCGUAGGCGGUGUAGUAAGUCGGGAGUGAAAUACCCCAGCUUAACUGAGGAAUUGCUUUCGAUACUGCUGCGCUUGAGUGAGACAGAGGUAAGCGGAACUUAGGGUGGAGCGGUGAAAUGCGUUGAUAUCCUAAGGAACACCGGUGGCGAAGGCGGCUUACUGGGUCUCAACUGACGCUGAGGCACGAAAGCAUGGGUAGCGAACGGG